GAGCCAGCCGUCUAAGGUGGGACAGAUGAUUAGGGUGAAGUCGUAACAAGGUAGCCGUAGGAGAACCUGCGGCUGGAUCACCUCCUUU
rnacentral:rRNA from 1 species